UAUUAUAUUAUGACUUUUUAUCACUUUUUUCGACAUACUAUAAUAUGACUUUUUACGACAUAUUAUAUUAUGACUUUUUUUUAUCACUUGACUUAGUUCAAAAUCUCAAGCCUGCAGUCAAUCCUGUGAGCCCAGGUAGUGGGGGUAUAUUCCUCUUCAUCAUCAGGAGGAGGAGUCUAUAGAAGGGGAGGUUUUAUAAGGCUGGGUGUGUUCUGUUCAGAUCCAUUUUGUCUCAGACCAUGCUGCCACACCAGCAAAUUGUUUGUACAAAUCCCUUCUGUUUGACACCAUGCUGCCACCCCAGUUCCGGAUGGAGAAUGUGAAAGCAUUUCAUCAAGAAGUCGAUGCAUUAAUAACUACUAAGUGAAUGCUAUGGUCGGGCAUGCUGGUGGCGAACACCAGUCCAGAGUCAUUGUCCCCGUCCAGGCCGUUGAGCCAGGACGUCACACCGGCCAGGAAGCUGGAUCCUCGUUUGGAUUUUCUGUAGGCCGGUAGA